rnacentral:rRNA from 1 species
GGAUUAGGCAUGCAAGUCGAACGAGGAUAUAUCCUUCGGGAUAUAAGCCGAGUGGCGCAAGGGUGAGUAAUGCAUAGAUUACCUGCCUCCAGGAUAAGGACAACUUUGUGAAAACGGAGCUAAUACUUAAUAACACAGAAGAAAAUAAUUUUCUUUUGUCAAAGGGAGGGUAGUAAUACCUUUUGCCUGGAGAGGGGUUUAUGUCCUAUCAGCUUGUUGGUGGGGUAAUGGCCUACCAAGGCACAGACGGGUAGCCGGCCUUAGAGGGUGGUCGGCCACACUGGGACUGAGACACUGCCCAGACUUCUACGGAAGGCUGCAGUCGAGAAUCUUUCGCAAUGCCCGAAAGG